rnacentral:rRNA from 1 species
CAGCACCUCAAGUGGUCAGGAGGAUUAUUGGGCCUAAAGCAUCCGUAGCCUGUUCUAUAAGUUUGCGGUUAAAUCCACAUGCUCAACAUAUGGGCUGCCGUAAAUACUGUAGAACUAGGGAGUGGGAGAGGUAGACGGUACUCGAUAGGAAGGGGUAAAAUCCUUUGAUCUAUUGAUGACCACCUGUGGCGAAGGCGGUCUACCAGAACACGUUCGACGGUGAGGGAUGAAAGCUGGGGGAGCAAACCGGAUUAGAUACCCGGGUAGUCCCAGCUGUAAACGAUGCAGACUCGAUGAUGCAAUGGCAUAGAGCUAUUGCAGUAUCGCAGGGAAGCCGUUAAGUUUGCCGCCUGGGAAGUACGUACGCAAGUAUGAAACUUAAAGGAAUUGGCGGGGGAGCACCACAAGGGGUGAAGCCUGCGGUUCAAUUGGAGUCAACGCCAGAAAUCUUACCCGGAGAGACAGCAGAAUGAAGGUCAGGCUGAAGACCUUACCAGACAAGCUGAGAGGUGGUGCAUGGCCGUCGUCAGCUCGUGCCGUGAGAUGUCCUGUUAAGUCAGGUAACGAGCGGGAUCCCUGCCACUAGUUGCUAUCAUUACUCUCAGGAGUAGUGGGGCGAAUUAGUGGGACCGCCACAGUUAAUGUGGAGGAAGGAAGGGGCCACGGCAGGUCAGUAUGCCCCGAAACUCUGGGGCCACACGCGGGCUGCAAUGGUAGUGACAAUGGGCUCCUAACUCGAAAGAGAGAGGCAAUCCACAAACACUACCACAGUUAUGACUGAGGGCUGUAACUCGCCCUCACGAAUAUGGAAUCCCUAGUAACUGCGUGUCAUUACCGCGCGGUGAAUACGUCCCCGCUCCUU